AGACUAUAUAAACUCACGUUCUCGAGUCACAGGCUGUCGGUUCUUGAAGGUCAUGCUGGUGAUUCCCGUGGCUGCUUGACCGCCAGCAUUCCCCGCUGGUUCUGUCUUCGAACUCCGUUCCCGUGAGGAUUAUUCUUUGCCGCUGGAGUUUACCUUCGUUUCAGGUUUUUGCUUUCCUUUGGAGAUUUCCUUUCGUUGUGGAUUACUUAUCCCGUGCGGAUAUACUUUCAGUUCGUGACUCUCCAUUUACUGUGAAUAAGAAAAGGUGAAGAACUAGAAGAAGUAGAAGAAGUAAGAUAAAUGGCAAGGAAAACAGAGGUACAGAGAGAGCCUCAGCCAGAAUAGACACAACAGAUGUGGAGAGUUUUGUGGAUAAACACAGAGAGCAGCUCAUUCAGAGGGUUUCUUCAGUAAUGGAGAUAGCAGGUGGUCUAAAAUGCUGGAACAUGAUUAGUGAUGAGAUGUACAAUUACAUCCAUGUAGAACCAUCAUUGUAUAAGCAAAUGAGACUCCUUUAUGAUGCGUUCCACUCAGGAGAAAGAGCUGUGAAAGCCAAAUUCUACAAAAUCCUCAAAGAGAAACAGCCUUUCAAAGUGGAUGAUCUGGAGUCUGGAUCAAGCUGGGCUUAGUGGACCAUGCACAUCUUCAUAAAGACUGCAUUGUUUUAGACAGAAUUAUACACUUUGUCUGGUCUUUGGCACAUCAUUGGAUUUUGUGUUGGUGGUUUGAGGGGUUUCCUGUUUUUAAGAUUUUGUUCCACAAAGUGUGAAAUGUUGAUAUUUUUCUUAACACUUAUCAAUUGUCUUCCUUUAUUUAAAUCUAUAAAUAUAU